rnacentral:lncRNA from 1 species
GGUCCAAGGCCCGUUUGCCCACCCCUAAUUCAAUUGAUACGAAAGUAAAUUCUGCAGGGUUAGGGUUUGGGAAUAUUAUCCUUUAUUCUUAAAGUUUUAGGUCUUAGGUGCCAAGGUUCACGCUUCGGGCAUGAUGCCACACCUUGGCAAACCUUGAUUUUAUCAUAUGUUUGUGGUAGUAAUCAGAUCCGAGAAUUUGGUAAACUUCCGCUUUCUACACUGCUGCUUCAGGGGCGAGUUAGAAACAUGGAAUGACGAGAAAAGUAUUCUCCAUUCAAAAUUCGAUUGGAUUUAUAAACUUAAGAAUUGUACUCAUUCAUGGACGUAAUCAUGGUGUGCUUCAAGCAAUGUUUUUCAUGAUUAGACGGUCCAUAGGAGCAAGCAAAAGAGCCAUGGAAUCCUC